CACGCCUAACAGAUUGCGUGUCCGCUCGCGCAUCCCCUGUGGCGUGAGCAACGAGCCUGUCCAACUCUACUUCCUCCCCCUGCCCCACAAUGACCCUCCGACGCGUUGUGCUGCGAGGGGGACAAUCUUCCCUAUCGCCUCUGUUAAGCAGCAUGCGAUGCGCGCGGCAGCAGCACAACACUUCGGACCCAGCGCAGAUUCACUCUGACAGAGACCCAGUCUCUUCUUCCUCGUCGACUGGCCCGUCACCCACGCUUGGGGUCGCAGGCACCCCGAGCUCGGCUGGUGGGCCCCAAGAGGCGAACCGGCUGUUCGACAUACUCGGAGAGCCUGUAGCUCCGCCGUUGAAAGCUGUUCUGCAAGACAACUCACGAAAACCCAGUGCUUGGCAGCCACUCCGCGGUGCAUCGUCAGCGCCCUCGACUGAUGCAGGCGGAGAGGGGCGGAUCUUGGAUGCGUCGCCGCCAGCAUGGUCUCAGCCCAUCCAGCAGGUAGUCCGGCAUGCGGUGCUUGACCCUUUGCGCUACGCAUCCUCUCAAAUCGACGGCAGCGAAUCACAAGAAAAGCGCCGCGAGAGUGUCGCGCCGCCGUCGCUGCCGGACUUGUCGGCGCAGUACAAGGUGAUAAUUGUGGACGCUCUAGGGAUGCCAGCCGAUUUGCCGAGAGGUGCCCCACGGAGCUUUGAAGACCUGCUCGAGCUCUCGCCGUCGAUCCUUCGGACGCAGCUGCAGAAGCUGAUUGAGCGCAAGCGCUACCGCGCCCUCACCCCUGUGCAGGCCGCCGCCAUACCGCUUAUGCUGGAGUACCGCGAUGUGCUCUGUAUCGCGCCCACGGCAACUGGCAAGACCCUCUGCUAUGUCUACGCGACUCUUAUGCACCUCCUGCUAAAGGACAUAAAUGAUCGACCAGCCGCAGCAGCAGCAGCAGCAGCCACCGCGGGCGACGAGGGCAACGAGGGCGGCGGUGUCAGCCUGAACCGGCGGCAAGUGGAAACCUUCCUGCAGGAGAAAAUCGACAAGGGAGAAGUCUGCCCCUACUGCGAACUGAGCCUCAGCGAGGUGCGCGUCUGUCCAAUGACAGGCUUCCCGCACCCGUCCGCGUUCGAGCUCGAGACCGACCUCGCUCUUCGGUCAAAGGAGCGACGUGCGAUGCGGCUGGAAGAGCUACAAUCCUCUGUCGCGGAGCCGCGCGUGCUGGUGCUGGUGCCGAAUGGUCAGUUGGCCUCUCAGGUCUCCGCCGUGUUCCGCUCUCUUCACUGCGACUAUAGGAUCCACUGCAUGGUACGCGCCUCCAGCGCAGAGGAGCAGCGCAAGUACCUGCAAGCGCUGGAAGGCGGCGUCGACGUGCUCGUCGCCUCCCCAGAAACCAUACUGCCAGCGUUAUACAGGCAUAAACUGUCCCUGAGGAAAGUGCAGACGGUGGUGAUGGAUGAAGUGGACGAUAUCGUCUCUGUGAAUCACUUCGAACCCAUGAAGAUCAUCCUCGGCGCGCUGCCAAAGGGUGUGCGACGGCCGCAGCGACUUCUGUUCGGUGCCUCGCUUCCACCCGUUGCCUAUGAAAUGAUCAAGAAAAAGAUGCUGCUUCCCUCUCACAGAUUUGUGCUCGUCGACCUCAAAGCCCCGGCAGAGCUAAGUCGUGCUGCUCCUUCUUCUCUAGCGUCGUCACUGUCGUCCUCCUCUCCCGACAAGCCGAACGCGGGGGACGCCGGCGAUCUCCCUGUAGCAGCCUUGUCUACCACCGUGACGGGCGGUUUCUUGACCGCGCGCACAAAUCUGCGUCACCUCGUAUUUAUGGUGGGGCGCGCCGAGAAGGUGCAGAAGCUCGCGUGGCUGUACGAGACCGGGAAGCUCAACCCAGACCAGCGCACCCUCAUCUUCUGCAACUCACGUCACAACGUCGCCUACGUGUGCGACAAGAUGAAGGAGCUAGUUUCGCAGGUGAACUUUACCACGCUGACCUCGCACGCCUCGUCGUCGGCGCGUGAAGGUGUACUGAAGAUGUUCCGAACAGGGGUGUCGACCAGCCUUAUCUGCACAGACCUGCUGAGUCGUGGAAUCGACUUCCAGGGCGUGGUCUACGUCGUGCAUUACGACAUGCCAACAGACAUGGAGACCUGGACGCACCGGUGCGGUCGCUGCGGUCGUGGAGGCUCUCUGCAGGGCAGAGGGUAUAUCUACACCUUUUUCCAGCCGGAGAACAUCAAGCUGGCAAAGCCGCUGGUCGGGUAUCUUCGCCAGCAUCAACAGCUAGUUCCGCCGAGGCUGCGCGAGUACGCAAAGCAGUCUUUCAUCGAUGUGUUCAACAACUCGCUCUUCCACCAUCCGACGCGGCCGCGCCGCAAGGAUGAUCCGCAGAACAGCACGCCGGUUCUCGGCCGAGGCAUGCGACGCUUCCCCGACUACAAGCAGAGCACCAUUCACAAACACUUCCGGCCACAUUGACAGUGGAGAUGCGGUGUAUGGCUGACGUGAAAGAAGCAGUGUGAAGAGGGAACGCAUGCCUUCGAUCUAUCGGCCGUUGUCGCCUGUAGCAGCACUGUUGCCGUGUCUUUUUCUGUUGCUGAGUCCGCACGUCUGCGCGACACGUCUGCAGCUGUCUGCCCCCCCCCUCCUUUUUCUUCACAUACACGCACGCGCACACCUUCGUUGUGACUUGCGUUUAACUUCCUCCCUCCCUCUUUGCUUACGCUAACGAGCAAGCAAAUCAAGCCGCAGACACCCAUG
rnacentral:misc_RNA from 1 species